rnacentral:rRNA from 1 species
CGAAUAUAAGUGAUGGCGACCGGCGCACGGGUGAGUAACACGUAUCCAACCUGCCGAUAACUCGGGGAUAGCCUUUCGAAAGAAAGAUUAAUACCCGAUGGUAUAAUAAAACCGCAUGGUUUAAUUAUUAAAGAAUUUCGGUUAUCGAUGGGGAUGCGUUCCAUUAGGCAGUUGGUGAGGUAACGGCUCACCAAACCUUCGAUGGAUAGGGGUUCUGAGAGGAAGGUCCCCCACAUUGGAACUGAGACACGGUCCAA